rnacentral:rRNA from 1 species
AUGGCUUCCGGCGAGGCUCCUGAUGGGCGGAUUCGCGAGGCAGGGGGUUCCCGGAGGAGCGACCGGAGCAGCAGCGAUACCCUGCGUCGGCGUCACGCAGCUGGAGCAGUCACCAAGCGCGUGAAGGACGAAGUGCCGGACCCCUCGGAGCCGCCGCCGGCCGCGGCGCCUCGCCCUGUCCAGAGCAGAGAGGAGCAGUUCGUGUGGCCGUGGAUGGGCGUGCGGAGAGGCGGACGACAGAUCGGGGAGAGCGGGAACCGGCUCAAGGAGCGGCUCGCCGCCUUCUGCCCGCACAAGGUCGUGCCUUUGUGGAGCCACAGAGGCCACACCGGGAACGCCAUCGUCGAGUUCGGGAAGGACUACGCCUCUCUCGGCCACGCCUUCAGCUUCGAGAACCACUUCGAGGCGCAGGGCCACGGCAAACGGGGCUGGGAGGCGAGCAGGUACCGAGGUGCGCCGGAGAUGUUUGGGUGGGUUGCGAGGGCCGACGAUCGACGAACGCCGGGGCUCGUCGGGGAGUACCUGCAGAGGAACGGCGAUCUGAAGUCUGUUGCAGAGCUUGAGAGCGAGGGGACGCGCAAGACUGACAAGCUGGUGGCCAAUUUGGCCGGCCAGAUUGAGGUGAAGGCCAAGCAUGCCCAAGAGCUCGAAUCCAAGUACAGUGAGAGGACUACAUCAAUGGACAACGUGAUGGAAGUGAAGGAGCUCAUUCUCCAGAGAUACAACCAUGAAAUCCACAAGAUGCAGCAACUUGCUCGUCGGCACUCGCAGAGGAUCAUCGAUGAGAAUCAGAAGGUCCGUUCGGAGCUGGAUUCCAAGAUGCAGGUUCUUGAAUUCAAAUCCAAGCAGGUCGAUGAGCUUGCUGUGCGUAGCGAAUCUGACAUAAGGAAUCUUGAGAAGGAGAAGGAAAAGAACAUGAUCAAAGCAAAAUUUCUCAAGAUGGCAACAUUGGAGCAACAGAAGGCCGACGAAAAUGUCCUGAGGCUUGUGGAGAAACACAAGAGGGAGAAAGAAGCUGCUGUAGAUGAGAUUAUCAAGUUAGAGCAGAAACUGGAUGCCAGACAGAAGCUUGAGUUAAAAAUAAGACAGCUGCAGGGAAAAUUGAAUGUUAUGAAGCAUAUGCCAGGUGAGGAAGACUUUGAAUCAAAGAGGAAAAUUGAUCAACUUAGCGAGGAGCUGCAGGAGAAGUAUGAUGAAAUAAAUGAGAUGGAAUCACUCCACGGGGCUCUGCUUAUGAAGGAAAGGAUGAGCAACGAUGAGUUGCAAGAUGCUCGGAUGAAGCUAAUAGAUGGCUUGUUGGAUAUCACAACUGGCCGAGCAAAUAUAGGCAUUAAAAGAAUGGGUGAUCUUGAUCUGAAAUCAUUCACGAUUGCCUGCAAACGUAAAAUGGCAAAAGAAGAUGCAGAAGUUACUGCUUCCAUUCUUUGUUCAAAGUGGGAGGAUGAGAUUAGAAAUCCAGAAUGGCACCCGUUUAAAGUUGUCAUGGAUGGCGGCAAAGCGAAGGGAGGGAUGCCUAACAAUGGUUAUGCCCCUUUCUGGAUCGGGGCAGUUCGUCGCAAAUCUCAGAAAAUGGGGAAAAGUGCAGCAGGCGUGAACCAUGGCAUAUUCCCAUAA